rnacentral:rRNA from 1 species
GACGAACGCUGGAGGCGUGCUUAACACAUGCGAGUCGAACGAUGAAAUGGAGCUUGCUCCAUGGAUUAGUGGCGAACGGGUGAGUAACACGUGAAUAACCUGCCCUUAAUUUUGGAAUAACCCAGGGAAACCUGGGCUAAUACCGGAUAAGUAAACCUGUGGCAUCACAUGGUUUUGGAAAGUUUUUCGAUUAAGGAUGGAUUCGCGGCCUAUCAGCUUGUUGGUGAGGUAAUGGCUCACCAAGGCGACGACGGGUAGCCGGCCUGAGAGGGUGAACGGCCACACUGGGACUGAGACACGGACCAGACUCCUGCGGGAGGCAGCAGUGGGGAAUAUUGCGCAAUGGACGAAAGUCUGACGCAGCGACGCCUCGUGAGGGACGAAGGUCUUCGGAUUGUAAACCUCUUUCAGCAGGGACGAAGCGAAAGUGACGGUACCUGCAGAAGAAGCACCGGCUAACUAUGUGCCAGCCGCCGCAGUAA